GAUGAACGCUGGCGGCGUGCCUAAUACAUGCAAGUCGAGCGAACAGACGAGGAGCUUGCUCCUCUGACGUUAGCGGCGGACGGGUGAGUAACACGUGGAUAACCUACCUAUAAGACUGGGAUAACUUCGGGAAACCGGAGCUAAUACCGGAUAAUAUAUUGAACCGCAUGGUUCAAUAGUGAAAGACGGUUUUGCUGUCACUUAUAGAUGGAUCCGCGCCGCAUUAGCUAGUUGGUAAGGUAACGGCUUACCAAGGCAACGAUGCGUAGCCGACCUGAGAGGGUGAUCGGCCACACUGGAACUUAGACACGGACCAGACUCCUACGGGAGGCAGCAGUAGGGAAUCUUCCGCAAUGGGCGAAAGCCUGACGGAGCAACGCCGCGUGAGUGAUGAAGGUCUUCGGAUCGUAAAACUCUGUUAUUAGGGAAGAACAAAUGUGUAAGUAACUAUGCACGUCUUGACGGUACCUAAUCAGAAAGCCACGGCUAACUACGUG
rnacentral:rRNA from 1 species